GUCACCAACGAAGGCCGAGGCCAGUGGAGGAAAUAAAAGAGUCAGAGGCCCCGAGAGGGGAAGCCAUUUGUCCAAAGCCACAUAGAAGCCAGUGGCCAGGCUGGAAUUCAAAGCCAGGAUCAAAGGGUGCACAGAUGUUGCAGGGUCUUGACAGCUCUGCCAAGGCCCCCCCCCCCACCCUCUCCACACCCCCACCCACCCUCUGCUCCCACCGCUGGCCCACCCCAUGUCCAGCCAUCACAGCCCACUCGGUAUUCGUCACAUUCACCAGGCCCACUCUCUCAAGCCACGAGCGGCAGUGCAUGCUCCCCCACUGCUUACUGGGAGCCACCACACCCAGACUGGGUGAUGCUAGGAAGCUGGCACCUCUUCCAAGAAGCCUUCCUUGCUCUUUAUUCAGCAUGUCUGCCCUUGGCUGGACUGAAGGCCUUCUCUGACUCCCCUGCUCAUACUUUUACUGUGGGUUGGCUGCAUCUUUUACCUGCAGCACCAAGAGCUCCCAGAAGGCAGGCACAGGAGCUGACUCACCUGUCUGCCCUUGCCCAACUACCUUGCUGGAGGCUGCGAGACACGUGGAGCAGAGCUGAGUUGCCCAGCCAAGGCUCCAGAGAGGUGAGAUGCCCAACCAAGGUCAGCAGAGCUUCCUAUUUCAUCCACAGCUGACCACAGAUGCACAAGUGAGUCCAACCGAGUCCAGAGAACUUUCCAGCUCACCUAUAGGCUUAUGAGCAGUAAUACAUAUUUGUUGUUUACA